rnacentral:rRNA from 1 species
GACGAACGCUGGCGGCGUGCUUAACACAUGCAAGUCGAACGGAAAGGCCCUGCUUUUGUGGGGUGCUCGAGUGGCGAACGGGUGAGUAACACGUGAGUAACCUGCCCUUGACUUUGGGAUAACUUCAGGAAACUGGGGCUAAUACCGGAUAGGAGCUCCUGCUGCAUGGUGGGGGUUGGAAAGUUUCGGCGGUUGGGGAUGGACUCGCGGCUUAUCAGCUUGUUGGUGGGGUAGUGGCUUACCAAGGCUUUGACGGGUAGCCGGCCUGAGAGGGUGACCGGCCACAUUGGGACUGAGAUACGGCCCAGACUCCUACGGGAGGCAGCAGGGGGGAAUAUUGAACAAUGGGCGGAAGCCUGAUGCAGCGACGCCGCGUGCGGGAUGACGGCCUUCGGGUUGUAAACCGCUUUCGCCUGUGACGAAGCGUGAGUGACGGUAAUGGGUAAAGAAGCACCGGCUAACUACGUG